CAGUCGUACUUAUGGGGUAAUCAGCCUUUUGGGUGUGAUUUUGUGGAGCGUGAGGAGCUAAUCGCCUUCAUCUUUGCAUGUUCGUGCACUUUGGGUGUACUUGCUCGUCUGGUAGGUUAACAUCAAUUUUGGUGGUCAUAAAAUGGCUGGAGGAAUGUAGCUUCGAUCUUGUAUUGAAGUGUUAUAGCCUUCGGUAGAUGUGGUGACCGGGAUUGAGGAUUGCAACGGAUACCCUUCGGGGCUACUCGUCUGAUCUCUG
rnacentral:rRNA from 1 species